GAAAGAACCGGUGAAUUCCUCAUCCUCCGGCAAGCCAACAGUUAUGGUCUAUACAAACCCUCUGACAGAUUGUUUCACUGAGUUAACUUGCACAUGUCCAUAUAACCACAGUGCGUGGAGUGGAAAACAAUUGUAUUCAAGAGCCUGCUAGGCACUCUGGGUUGUCACAGCAGGCAGAGUGACCUCCUGAUCUCCACUGUCGAAGGGUUUCGGAAAACAAUGAAACAAUGCCCACAAAGAGAGAGUGUUAUUGCCAGUGUGCCUGGACGCCUUCAUCACC